ACGGGAGGCAGCAGUAGGGAAUCUUCCGCAAUGGACGAAAGUCUGACGGAGCAACGCCGCGUGAGUGAUGAAGGUUUUCGGAUCGUAAAGCUCUGUUGUUAGGGAAGAACAAGUGCGAGAGUAACUGCUCGCACCUUGACGGUACCUAACCAGAAAGCCACGGCUAACUACGUGCCAGCAGCCGCGGUAAUACGUAGGUGGCAAGCGUUGUCCGGAAUUAUUGGGCGUAAAGGGCUCGCAGGCGGUUUCUUAAGUCUGAUGUGAAAGCCCCCGGCUCAACCGGGGAGGGUCAUUGGAAACUGGGAAACUUGAGUGCAGAAGAGGAGAGUGGAAUUCCACGUGUAGCGGUGAAAUGCGUAGAGAUGUGGAGGAACACCAGUGGCGAGGCGACUCUCUGGUCUGUAACUGACGCUGAGGAGCGAAAGCGUGGGGAGCGAACAGGAUUAGAUACCCUGGUAGUCCACGCCGUAAACGAUGAGUGCUAAGUGUUAGGGGGUUUCCGCCCCUUAGUGCUGCAGCUAACGCAUAAGCACUCCGCCUGGGGAGUACGGUCGCAAGACUGAAACUCAAAGGAAUUGACGGGGGCCCGCACAAGCGGUGGAGCAUGUGGUUUAAUUCGAAGCAACGCGAAGAACCUUACCAGGUCUUGACAUCCUCUGACAACCCUAGAGAUAGGGCUUUCCCUUCGGGGACAGAGUGACAGGUGGUGCAUGGUUGUCGUCAGCUCGUGUCGUGAGAUGUUGGGUUAAGUCCCGCAACGAGCGCAACCCUUGAUCUUAGUUGCCAGCAUUAGUUGGGCACUCUAAGGUGACUGCCGGUGACAAACCGGAGGAAGGUGGGGAUGACGUCAAAUCAUCAUGCCCCUUAUGACCUGGGCUACACACGUGCUACAAUGGACAGAACAAAGGGCUGCAGACCGCAAGGUUUAGCCAAUCCCAUAAAUCUGUUCUCAGUUCGGAUCGCAGUCUGCAACUC
rnacentral:rRNA from 1 species